GGUUCUUCCGGACCGGAACUAAGCCUAGGUCCCAGUUCCACCGAUCCGACCGGCCGGUCCGAUCUGGGUUUUAAGUCAUUGGGGGCCCCAUUGCUCCUCCGUCGGGCGAAAAAGAUCGAGAGAGAGAUCUUCACCCCUGAUGAGUAUUUCUGCUCUGGCCACCUUGUCUCCUACUACCUUCCCACUCUUGCCGUCCAUUGGUGGUUUUUUGGCUUCCAAGUUCAAAGAAAGAAUUCCACUUGGCAGCUAAAUCCUUCAUGUGCACUUGUCUUGUAUUUUUCUUGGGCAAUAAUUACAAGACUCUGCUUUGUUCUCCCUUCAUUAAACGCCUUGCUUUGAUUAUCUAAUUUUUUAUAUUUUCUUUUUUGCUCUGU